rnacentral:rRNA from 1 species
CAGCAGCCGCGGUAAUACGUAGGUCCCGAGCGUUGUCCGGAUUUAUUGGGCAUAAAGCGAGCGCAGGCGGUUAGAUAAGUCUGAAGUUAAAGGCUGUGGCUUAACCAUAGUACGCUUUGGAGACUGUUUAACUUGAGUGCAAGAGGGGAGAGUGGAAUUCCAUGUGUAGCGGUGAAAUGCGUAGAUAUAUGGAGGAACACCGGUGGCGAAAGCGGCUCUCUGGCUUGUAACUGACGCUGAGGCUCGAAAACGUGGGGAGCAGACAGGAUUAGAUACCCCCGUAGUCCCUGUCUCUUAUACA